rnacentral:rRNA from 1 species
UACAGAGGGUGCGAGCGGUAAUCGGAAUUACUGGGCGUAAAGCGCACGUAGGCGGCUUGGUAUGUCGGGUGUGAAAUCCCCGGGCUCAACCUGGGAACUGCAUCCGAAACUGCCUUGCUAGAGUAUGGGAGAGGGAAGCGGAAUUUCCGGUGUAGCGGUGAAAUGCGUAGAUAUCGGAAGGAACAUCAGUGGCGAAGGCGGCUUCCUGGACCAAUACUGACGCUCAGGUGCGAAAGCGUGGGGAGCAAACAGG